rnacentral:lncRNA from 1 species
CAGCGUUAAAUUCGUAUUAUUAGUUGUGUUCGUCACGUGCCAAGGCGCUUCAGUUUUUAUGGGGUUUCUCAUGUGCUGAUUUGUCUGCAACUUUGAUGCAGGAUAAUUUUGUGCUCCACUAUGAAAUGUUGGAAAAAAGACCUGUUCUGCCUCAACACUAACUUGGUGGUGCAGUUUAUAAGUGUACAUUUUCAACAUAUUCCUUUUUUCUAGGAGCAAAGACCUGUUCUGCCUCAACACUAACUUGGUGGUGCAGUUUAUAAGUGUAUAUUUUCAACAUAUUCCUUUUUUCUAGGAGCCAGGUAUAGGGUUGUCUUAG